rnacentral:rRNA from 1 species
GACGAACGCUGGCAGCGUGCUUAACACAUGCAAGUCGAACGGAAAGGCCCUGCUUUUGUGGGGUGCUCGAGUGGCGAACGGGUGAGUAACACGUGAGUAACCUGCCCUUGACUUUGGGAUAACUUCAGGAAACUGGGGCUAAUACCGGAUAGGAGCUCCUGCUGCAUGGUGGGGGUUGGAAAGUUUCGGCGGUUGGGGAUGGACUCGCGGCUUAUCAGCUUGUUGGUGGGGUAGUGGCUUACCAAGGCUUUGACGGGUAGCCGGCCUGUGAGGGUGACCGGCCACAUUGGGACUGAGAUACGGCCCAGACUCCUACGGGAGGCAGCAGUGGGGAAUAUUGCACAAUGGGCGGAAGCCUGAUGCAGCAACGCCGCGUGCGGGAUGACGGCCUUCGGGUUGUAAACCGCUUUCGCCUGUGACGAAGCGUGAGUGACGGUAAUGGGUAAAGAAGCACCGGCUAACUACGUG